GGGGGUGACUGGUUUCGACUUGGGACGGUAGUCCCAGGAGAAGCGGGCCGAGGAGCCGGCGACAUCUCGUUAACGAAUGCCGGAAACCAAUAACUGCCGACAACUCUCGUGCAGACUUCGCUCUCGCUGCCUGAUCAGUGAUCGAAGGGUCAGCCCGGACGUGCCUUCCGUCCGGAUCCUGGCCUCAUCUUGAAGGCUUGCUGGUCGUCUGACGCCGUGGCGGACGAUCGGGACUCAACCAGGGCUGGGCCUGUCCGUGACGUGCCGAUGACGAGCACGGGGGCCGAGUAGAACGACACCAUCGGCUGCGCCCGGAGAAGACCUGGUUCGCCUCUCGAGGACGCGGGUUCGACUCCCGCCACCUCCACCC
rnacentral:tmRNA from 2 species